UGCGGCAGCGAACGUAUCACCCAAGACAACUUUACGGAGUUGACGAUUGACGGAGCGAAGCGACGUCAAAGCGUUCAUUAAAGUCGAGUUGGCUUAGGGAUACGUUCGUUGGGUAGGGGAGCGUUCUGUAAGCCUGUGAAGGUGUGUCGUGAGGCAUGCUGGAGGUAUCAGAAGUGCGAAUGCUGACAUAAGUAACGAUAAAGCGGGUGAAAAGCCCGCUCGCCGGAAGACCAAGGGUUCCUGUCCAACGUUAAUCGGGGCAGGGUGAGUCGACCCCUAAGGCGAGGCCGAAAGGCGUAGUCGAUGGGAAACGGGUUAAUAUUCCCGUACUUGGUGUUACUGCGAAGGGGGGACGGAGAAGGCUAUGUUGGCCGGGCGACGGUUGUCCCGGUUUAAGCGUGUAGGUGUGUGUUCCAGGUAAAUCCGGUUCACUUUAACACUGAGGCGUGACGACGAGGCACUACGGUGCUGAAGCAACAAAUGCCCUGCUUCCAGGAAAAGCCUCUAAGCAUCAGGUAACAUCAAAUCGUACCCCAAACCGACACAGGUGGUCAGGUAGAGAAUACCAAGGCGCUUGAGAGAACUCGGGUGAAGGAACUAGGCAAAAUGGUGCCGUAACUUCGGGAGAAGGCACGCUGACACGUAGGUGAAGUGAUUUACUCAUGGAGCUGAAGUCAGUCGAAGAUACCAGCUGGCUGCAACUGUUUAUUAAAAACACAGCACUGUGCAAACACGAAAGUGGACGUAUACGGUGUGACGCCUGCCCGGUGCCGGAAGGUUAAUUGAUGGGGUCAGCG
rnacentral:rRNA from 1 species